CUCUAUAAAUACCAGAGCUGAUCAGGCUCUCAAGGUAUAGCUAAUACAAGAGAACUUAAGUGCACUCAAUUUUCUGACCUAUUCUCUCUUUCAUCUUUCUCUUUUACUCACCAUGUCGACCUGCGGCGACUGCGACUGCGCUGAUAAGAGCCAGUGCGUGAAGAAGGGAAACACCUACGGCAUCGAGAUUGUUGAGACCCAAAAGAGCUACUACGAAGAUGCCGUGGUUGAGGUUGCGGCCGCAGCGGAAAACGACGGCAAGUGCAAGUGCGGAGCUGGCUGCACUUGCACUUCCUGCACUUGUGGGCAUUAAACAUUUGCAAUAAUAUACUACAAAAUUGUGUGGGGAACAUGAAAAUGGGUAGAAUUAGUAGUAAAUGUGGUGGUGCAUAAGCUGCUAUCCAUCUUCCAUCUUAUGGGUUUGUGUAAUAAUGUUGGGCAUAAGCCAUAUCUGCUUUUAGUUGCAUAGUUGCUAUGUAAUGGAGUUGUCUACUUUGUUGUCUGUGUUCCUUGUUUAAUAAGAAUUUAAUCAUAUCAUUAUUAGUUUACAA